CAGAGAUCUUCUUUCAUUUAAGAAGAAGCCACCGUAAAGAAGAGGAAACAAGGCGUUUAAGGGACACUGACUCCCAUUAUUUUCUCCAGGCCUGCUUUGGCUAAAUCGACGGAGGCUUAGCUUAUUAUGUUUCGGGCGUUUAGCUAGCUUAGAGAAUAAAUAAAUCUAUCUCUAAAGGGGGAGCGGUACGACUAUUUUAGGUUAGAGGAAGGUUGAAGAGAGAAUAGCUAAAAUAGCCAGUCGGGUAGGCAAGUGCGGAUGACUGUGGUCAAAGUGAAUAUGUCUUGUUGAUCAACUGUUUGGUAUACCCAGUUCUGUAG
rnacentral:lncRNA from 1 species